UACGAAGGGGGCUAGCGUUGCUCGGAAUCACUGGGCGUAAAGCGCACGUAGGCGGCUUUCUAAGUCAGGGGUGAAAUCCUGGAGCUCAACUCCAGAACUGCCUUUGAUACUGGGAAUCUUCGAGUCCGGGAGAGGUGAGUGGAACUGCGAGUGUAGAGGUGAAAUUCGUAGAUAUUCGCAAGAACACCAGUGGCGAAGGCGGCUCACUGGCCCGGUACUGACGCUGAGGUGCGAAAGCGUGGGGAGCAAACAGG
rnacentral:rRNA from 1 species